UUUUGAGAGAAGGUGGACAAUGAAUUUCAUUUAUUGUUAUUGCUGUCAUAACGAUGAGCACUUCACAACAGCUGUCACCACCAGAUGCAGCAGCAAUUGCAUGGAAUCAUAACUUAAAAAAUUAACAACCAGAUUUCUGAAGUUAGAGUUCUUAGUUUCAAAUCUUGUCUGCAUCAAAAUUGCUCUGUGACUUUGGGAAAGUUUAACCACUGAUUUCUACCUUGAAGAAAAAAAUGAGUAUAAUAAUAUCUAUCUCGUAAAAUGGUGGUGAAGAUCACAUGGGAUAAUGCAAAUGAAGUUUGUAUCUUAUUGCCUGAUACAUAAAGUAUAUUCAAUAAAUAUUUGCCAUUAUGAUUACCAUUAUAAUUAUACAAUUUAGAAAACUCACAACAAAUCCCACUGCUGAAUAACUGAAACAGUCAUUAUUUCAUGUAAAAAUUAUUGCCCACGGAAGGUCCUAUCUUCUUCAUUGUCCAAAGAAUAUAUUACAUUAAAUAUGGCUUUCAUUGUAAUUAUUAAAAAUAGUUUAUAUUUAUUCAUAUCUAGGUUUUCAUCAAAGUUAUGCAUACUACUGAAUACUACACUGAAAGAACCACUAAGUACUACAAGACUUAUUACAUAGAACAGGAGUCAUCUAUCCACUUUUCCUCCUAAUUUCACAAUCUCUAGAGGGAACAGUUUUCAACUACACACAGUCCUCACAUAGUGUGACAGUGCCUGACCAUAAGAGUGACUGUGAAAUGGGACAUUGUAUAAGCUAUCUUAAUAACCAAUAGAAAAUGAUGAUGGUUCUGUGACCUUUAAAAAUGUUUGUCAAAACAUUAAAGACUUUUAUCAUCAGUGAUAAAUAUAUAAGAAAAUUAGAAAAGAAAAAUAGUGAAGCUAAUAUUUUAUUACAUAUUGUGAUUUAACAUUUAUUUCUUCGUAAAAACUCAAGAGUAGUUGGACAGAUGAUAAGGAGUGAGCAUUUUCUAUGCCUUUAUAAAUUGUCAUAAUCCUUUCUCAAACUGGGUGAGCUUCAAAUAUUUCACCUUUUGCAUUUUCAAUAUCAUGAACUAUCUCAAAAGGAUCCAUCAAUGUAAAGUUUUUAUUGGCAUCACUUCCUUUGGGAGUCUUCAUCCUUUUGUCAUAAGUGCUUUUCUCAUAUAUGUCAAUAAAAUUCUCCACUAAAUUUUUCUGGCUGCAUAUCUAGUGUAUUAUUCUGUUCUCUUGCUGCUAAUAAAGUCAUACUGGAGACUGGGUAAUUUAUAAAGGAAAGAGGUUUCACUGGCCCACAGUUCAGCAUAGAUGGGAAGCCCUCAGGAAACUUAUAAUCAAGGCAGAAGGGGAAGCAAACAAAUCCUUCUUCACAUGGUGGUAGGAGAGAGAAGUGCCAAGCAAAGGCGGAAAAGCCCCUUAUAAAACCAUCAGAUCUCAUGAGAACUCAUUCACUAUCAUGAGAUCAGCAGCAUGAGGGUAACCACCCCAUAAUUCAAUUACCUCCCACUGAGUCCCUCCCAUGACACGUGGGGAUUAUGGGAACUAUAUUCAAGAUGAGAUUUGGGUGGGGACACAGCCAAACCAUAUCAUUCUGCCCCUGCUCCCUCCCAAAUCUCAUGUCCUCACAUUUCAAAACACAAUCAUGCCUUUCCAACAGUCCCC
rnacentral:lncRNA from 1 species